AAAUCAGGUAGGACUACCCGCUGAACUUAAGCAUAUCAAUAAGCGGAGG
rnacentral:rRNA from 2 species